rnacentral:lncRNA from 1 species
UGGAGCCCCAGGCUAGCUCCCCGUACCAUUUUUGGGCAGACACGAACUGGACAGGUCCCGUGCUUUGGGGUGAUGGGUACUGUGACGAGGCUGAGCAUUUUCAGGCCGGUAUGCGCAGUGCCAGCGCCCCGCAUGUGCCAGGGGAAAGUGGGCAUCCAGCCAGUAGGGGUGAUGCCAGCCCUGUGCUCGAGACCGCCAAUGCGCCUCUACGGUCCAGUGUUUCCCGCUACACGCACUAGCCUUGAGGUGCGUGUCUCCAGGCUGGCACGUCCACCCCACGCAUCAGGCUUCUAGUGCGUCAGCCCAGCCUCGCUAUUCUGGAGCCGCCAGAGCCGCCAGCCAUUCUGGAGCCGCCAGAGACGCCAGCCAGUCUGGAGCCGCCAGAGCCGCCAGUCAGUCUGGAGCCGCCAGAGCCGCCAGCCAGUCUGGAGCUGCCAGCCAGUCUGGAGCCGCCAGCCAGUCUGGAGCCGCCAGAGCCGCCAGCCAGUCUGGAGCCGCCAGAGCCGCCAGCCAGGCCGGAGCCGCCAGGGACAUCAGCCAGGCGAGCGCAGCAAGUGUCGCCCGCCAACCGGGCGCAGCCAGGGUCGCCCGCCAGCCGGGCGCAGCAGGAAUCGCCAGCCUGGCGCAGUCAGGGUCGCCCACCAGUCCUCCGACGCGGCCAGGGGCGCCACCUAAGUGUGCGACGCUGAGGGUGGAGCGGGGAUGAACACUAACUCCGCUGCACCUUGAUCCCAUUCUCUUUUCCACGACAGUUGUGACAGGUGUAGGCAAUCAUUGUAAAUAAGAAUUUGUUCUGAACUGACUUGCCUAGUUAAAUAAAGGUUACAUUUAAGUAAAUGUAAUUGCUAAAAUAUACUUAAGUAUCAAAAGUAAAAGUAAAAAUAACUUGAAAUUCCUUAUAUUAA